AUUAUUAUUAUUAUUAUUAUUUUUCUUGCUUGGUUGAGCUGAUUCGAGAAGGAUUAAUAUAUUGGGGAGUUUGGUUGUAAGAAGCAUUGGUCAAAAAUUACAUGCCACGGAAUUGGAUUUGGUUGUAAGAAAUAAUUUGUAAAAAAUGAUUUUAAUAUGCAUCGAUAAUAGAAACUGCAGACCAAUUUACCUUACUCGUCUGAUUUUAGUGCAUCACGCUACAAAAAUCUUGCGUUUUCCUAUUAGAAAUAUUAUAAAAAUGUUUAUGUUUUCAAGUGUUCGUAGUCGUUUUGACAUUUCUAGCUUCUGAGCUAGAAUAGAAAAUUGUGCCGCCUAAAUUUGGUAAAAAAGAAAACGGGUCCUACACGAAAUGUCUCGUAGUUUUAGGUUUUUAGGUUUGCUAGAUUCUUAGAAUCCUUAUCAACAAGUCCGGCUAGUUUUCUUUGUCGACAAGUUGACAUUUUUUAUUUAUAGUAAUGGUUGGGUCGAAUUCUAAACGAGGCUGACAUUCGAGUGUCCUCUUUCUUAACCAUUAUCGGACAACUAGGAUCAUCUCCCUGGUUCUUAUCACUAAGUCAAGUUACAUAAUGAUCAAUUAAAUACGAAUUAUCUUCACUCAAUAAACCAAACGCGGAUGGCCAUAUCGAACAUAAUAUUCUUUUCAUUUAAACAACAGAAUAAUAUUAUCUUAAAUUUCAAAAAAUAGUAUAAGAUGCUUAACGGACUCAUAAAACAUUGUUCUAGUCCACAUGGUGAUGACUUCACCAGGUUGCAACUUGGACCAACCCCUAUUGCACUGCGCCAGAUUCUUAGAGUUGCCCCAGUCCCCAGAUGUCACGCGAGACUAGGAACAAUUUUCCCGUGACUGGAGGGAGCUUAUAGCAUCACUCCCCAAAUUUUCUUUGCAUGUUCCGUAUACUUGUGCCCUUAAAUAUGGCAGCAUAUAUGGACGUGAACAAGAGCGGUUCGAUGCAUUGAUUUGGGGG
rnacentral:lncRNA from 1 species